CCCCCACCCCACAAUCACAACUGACAAAGCUUCUUGGAUGAGAAGCAAAACGUUUUGUUCUUCUUCCUUAAGGGAAGUGGGGGAGGGGGAGAAACCAGCCUGGUUGCCUUUUGAAAAAGCGUUUUGGAGAAAACAGCAAGGGAAAAAAUGCAACAGAGACUCUGGUUUCUUCUUUGUGCCCGAGUUCACUGUUUCACUGGUCUUUGACCUAAUAGAAACAGGAAAAGGAGUCACAACUUUUGCUGACCCCACUUGUGACCGAUAUCUUGCCAGAGUUAUGAAACUGGCACUAAAUGCUACUUUAUGUUCAAUGUACAAGGCAUGUCAGUAAGAAAAACCCCGUUCAAAUGUAGGAAGGGAACAACUAACAGGGAUGAAAAGAGUUGUGCUGUAAACUGUCAGAAAAAUGUUCCUCUGUCCUCAUGCCACGGCUAAUGGGGUUGAUUCAAAUCUCCCAGAUCAAAAAAACAUCCAUGUUUCAAUGAACUGGCCUCUUUUUCUGCCCAAAGCACAACAAGCCCUGGAAAGUACUGCCUAGACACUGAAGGACAUACAGUAAUAUAUCUCCAUGGCUACCUAAAGCGGUGAUUAUGAUAACACACGAUGACAACAAUAAUGAAAUGGUCAGUGAAAUAAGGUGCUCUGAGCAUUGAACCCUCAGUGCUUGUCAGGCUCAAGCAACUGGAGCCACUGGUAAACUGCCAGAAGAAAAUCCUAAGCAUGCCAUCAUCAAGAAAAAAAAUGGAUCAUGUUAUCAGAAAGUGCAGGAGAGCUCUAGUCAACUGAGCAACGAUGAAUCAAACGAACACAACCCAGAACUGCAGAUAUUCAAGAUAAUAAAGAUGUUACAUACUUAAAAAAAGAAGAAGAAGAAUUGACUCAGAUUGACUCAAAACCUCUUAGCUGAAACUGAGAAAAAAAAUACUGCUCAGAGUUACUGCAUCUGCAGAAAUCCAAUUUUGGAGAACAUAAAGGUGCUUCUGUAAACUGGAGAUAAUGGGGAACAUUAGUAUUCCUGCAAGAGAUUGGACAUCGGUUCCCUUUUUAAGGAUACUUUGGACAUUUUGUGGAUCAAUCAAGAGAGGGAAGGCAAUGGGUCCUGGGUCCUUACCAAAUGAUGGAAGAUGAACAUUCACUUGGGCGAUUAGCUAUCUACUACAAAUUGUUCCCAAUCUGCCUCAGACAUCAACAGUAUAAGAAAUAUGGAGGACAGCCCAAUCAGAAACUUGAUUGUAGCAGAUAGAAAAGAUGAAUUAGAUUUAUGGUUGUGUUCAAUACUCAUUGUCUGUUGUAUCCCAUUGGCAGGCUAUACAGGCUAACUCUGCCCACUACUAGGAGUUUGAUCCUGACCAGCUCAAGAUUGAGUCAGCCUUUCAUCCUUCCAAGCAUCAAGCAGAGCCUAUUUUCCUCCUGAUCAUUGAGUGGAUUCAUUCUACAGUGUAUCAAAACCAAAACCAAAACAAACCAAAGAAGGAAUAGCUGUUGUCAAAAAACCACGCACCCUCAAUACAAAAAUCCAUUGACCGCUUCUUUUUAGGUUAAAGAAAAGGACAAAAAACCCCACCCUGUUCUAGCUAUCAUCUAAAAAUUUCUGGAACCUUCAUUUCAUGUAAGUGUGCAUGCAAUGCAGAGAGUACCAAUUUCAAUAUUCUAUAUAUAGUUUUUAUGCAGGUGAAUAUUACAGACACAUAUUUAUUGGUCAAUGAUUUGUACCGUGCCUCAGAAUGAAUGUGUAGACUGUACAUGUUUUGUUUUGUUGAUAGCAUUCUGUUCUGUUGGGUGAUGUUUAGUGCUUUUCAGAGUCAGACUAUACUUUAUCUCAAGACAGCAAUAUUUUCCUCCUCUUGUAAAACUUGUGUCUGAUUUUUACCGGGACUCGCCCAAAUGCAGAGAAAAGAAGUUCAUCAAGGUGAGCUUUAAAGGUAUGUUAUUCAUUUUCACCAGUUCCUUAUGCUGAGUGUCUGAAGAAUUAAAUUUGUGGGAAGGGAAGACAAUGUUAAAACUCCCGUCUUAUUUGCAGAAGAAAUAAUAAGAAAGGUUGGAAUGGUAAGUUAAAGAGAUGUGGUUUCCAUCUUUAGCUUUGAGAUCUUUUGCAUUUCAGUUUGCGCUUUCCCAAGUGUUGGAAAAUUCUGGGUCCCUUCUAGCAGGGUCAAUUUCCUUUUAGAAGAGAAUGUCUGAAAGACAUAUGCUGCUUUUGAUUUAAAAAAAAAUCUGUUUAUGAAAAAUCCUAUUUGCAAGCAGUCUGAGCAAGAAGCAUUAGGAAUAACACCUUUAGCAGGCAUUAAUCUUCAAAACAGCAUGAGUUCUCAAACUAUUUUUGGCAUAUCUAGGACCAUUUGGGGUCCUCACUGCUCAUUAACAUAUAUUUUUUUCAGUACAUGGAUAUGGUAAUAAUAUACAAGGUAGGUGUUUUGAAGACAAACAAUAGUGGACUAAUUGGGGUCUUAAAGAGGUGAACCCUUUCAUGGAUCACAGCCUUGUCAUGGUGAAGGGGCUUGCACAGCACAAUGAAGCUAUGAGCUAUGCUGUGCAGGGCCACCCAAGACAGACAGGUCAUAGCAGAGAGCUCUGUCAAAAUGUGAUCCACUGGAGAAGGAAAUGGCAACCCACUCCAGUAUCUUUGCCAUGAAAACCCCACAAAAAGGCAAUACAAAAAGGCAAAAAGAUAUGAUGGUGGAAGAUGAGCCCUUCAGGUCGGAAGGUGUCCAAUAUGCUACUGGGGAAGAGCAGAGGGCUAGUACCAGAGGUGAUAUUCAGCUGAUUCGGAUCGAUUCAGGCAAACCGGUAGCGGUGACUGCGGGUCUGCACAUCUGCCCAGAUGUAAUGCUGUCCUGUCAUGUUUUCAAGGUUGGGAGCAUGCACAGAAGGCACGCAGGAGCAAAGCACAUGUGCGGAAUGCAUGUUUUGCCCCAACUAUGGACCCCAAAGAAUGUAGCACACACAAAGUCCAUACAAACCUUAGUUUACUAAUUAAGGACUACUAAUGAGUUUUCUUAGUAGUUGUUCCAACACAAGUACAGUUAAAAUCAGUCUUUUCUGAACAAGGGGUGUUAAUUUAACUUCAUUAACAGCCGGCAAGAAUCCAAAGAAUAAUAACUCAAUUCUGAAGCACAGUAUUUCAGAUAACCGUAAUCUUACUGUGGUUGGCAGAAUGCCCAGAAGCAAUUUGCAGGAAAACUGACAAGAAAGAAGCAAGAGCUGAUCAGACAUUUCUGGAAUCAAGAUGCAAAGGAAUAUGAACAAAGUUGUUUCCUGCAAAUUGCCUCAGUCGUCGUCCUUCCUUAAAUAGGCUAGGGGAGUGGCCAAUUAGCCCCAAGCCUUACUCUUGAGGAGACCUCCUCCUGAGGAGCCACUCCUGCCUUUUGGCAGCUCUGCUCACUCAUACAUCAAGAAGAGGCUCCUCCUCUUCUUCCUUUUCACUUAUGGGAGCUUCUGGAGGUUGAAGGCCCUGGCUGAAUCCCCGCCUCUGGCACCACAUCUUCUCCAGCCUCCUCAUUGUCUGACUCGAAUGCCAGCUGCAUAGGCUGCUGGCACAUCACCACAUCAGCCUCCUCGCUGUUGGAAUCAGCUACUAGCUGCACAGGCCGCUGAUGGGCCACAACACCAUGAGCUUCCAUCAGCAGUCCUGUAUGGCAAGUAUAAAAGGAUACAUUCACAGAAAGACUCUGUCCCUGUGGCUCAGGAGAGGUGGAGAUUGUGGGCACAUUCUCCUUAGAUUUUCUUUUUAUACGGAGAUUAGGAAAAAACAUAUUUACCAAUAACUGCUAGCUCUCCUGGCCGUUCCGACACGACCUAUCUUCAGUGGCUGCUUAAGGAUGAACAGUCCAUAACUACAGCACAGGUGGCCAGAUUCUGUGUGGCAGCACUGGGGAUUUGUCGCAAACACAUGUCUUCUCCACCAUAGCGAUGUUAUAUAAUAAUUGUGGCAAACCCUUUGCACUGCUUAGUCAUUUCCCUUUUAGCGUUGAACAUACAAUGGGCCACACAGUUUACAGAUUGCAACUAUUAUAUAGUCAGACCAUGUAUAAUUGACCCUGGAUUUUAUUAUAGAUUUUAGUUGUUAUUUAUUAUUUUACCCUAGAAGUUUUAAAUGUAUAUAUGCUGAGUGCUUUUAUUUGUUCUGGUCUAAGACUGUAAUAAUAAAUUGUUGUUGGUCUUGGAGUACAAAAUGAGGCAGGGCACAGGCUGGUAGAAUUUUGUCAAGAGAAUACAAUGGUCAUCACAAAUAAUCUUUUUCAAACAACCCAAAAGAUGACUCUACACAUGGACAUCACCAGACGGCCAACACAGAAAUCAGAUUGACUAUGUGCUCUGAAGCCAAAGAUUGAGAACCUCUAUGCAGUCAGUAAAAACAAGACCAGGAGCUGACUGUGGCUCAGAUCAUGAGCUUCUCAUGGCAAAAUUUAGGCUUAAAUUGAAUAAAGUAGGGAAAAGCACUAGGACUUAAGCACUUAAAUUGAAUAAAGUAGGGAAAAGCAUUAGGACACUCAGGUGAACUAAAUCUUAUCCCUGAUUAAUAUAUAGUAGAGGUGACAAAAAGAUUUAAGGAAUUAGAUCUGAUAGACUGAAGUGCCUGAAGAACUAUGGAUGGAGGUUUACAACAUUGUACAAGAGGUAGCAACUAAAACCAUCCCAAAGAAAAAGAAAUGCAAGAAAGCAAAAUGACAGUCUGAGAAAGCCUUACAAAUAGCUGAGGAAAGAAGGGAAGUGAAAGGCAAGGGAGAAAGAGAAAGAUACACCCAAUUAAAUGCAGAAUUCCAGAGAAUAGUUGAAGAGAUAAGAAUGCCUUCUUAAAUGAACAGUGCAAAGAAAUAGAAAAAAAAGAAAAAACAAUAGAAUAAGGAGGAGCAGAGAUCUCUUCAAGAAAAUUGGAGAUAUGAAGAGAAAGUUUCAUGCAAAGAGGACAUGAUAAAGGACCAAAAUGGCAGGGACCUAACGGAGGCAGAAGAGAUUAAGAAGAGGUGGCAAAUUACACAGAAGAACUAUACAAGAAGAACAUCCCUGAUAAUGUCCCUGAUAACCACGAUGGGGUGGGUACUGACCUCAAACCAGACAUCCUGGAAUGCAAAGUCAAAUGGGCCUUAGGAAGUCUGAGCAACAACAAAAAUAGUGGAGGUGACAGUAAUCCAGCUGAGCUAUUCAAAAUCUUAAAAGACAAUGCAGUAAAAGUGCUAUAUUCAAUAUGCCAGCGAAUUUGGAAAACUCAACAGUGGCCACAGGAUUGGAAAAGGUCACUUUACAUUACAAUUCCAAAGAAGGGCAAUGCCAAAGUAUGUUCAAAUUACCGUAUCAUUGCACUCAUUUCACAUGCUACCAAAGUUAUGCUCAAAAUCCUACAAGUUAGGCUCCAGCAGUAUGUGGACCGAGAACUACCAGAAGUGCAGGCAGGUUUUCAAAGAGGCAGAGGAACUAGAGAUCAAAUUGCCAACAUACACUGGAUUAUGGAAAAAGCUAGGGAGUUCCAGAAAAAACAUCUAUUUCUACUUCAUUGACUAUGCUAAAGCCUUUGAUUGUGUGGAUCACAACAAAUUGUGGCAAGUUCUCAAAAAGAUGGGAGUACCAGAUCAUCUUUGUCUCUUGAGAAACCUAUAUGCGAGUCAAGAAGCAAGUGGACAAGGAACCACUGAUUGGUUCAAAAUUGAGAAAGGAGUUCGGCAAGGCUGUAUACUGUUACCCUGCCUAUUUAACUUAUAUGCAGAGCACAUCAUGAGAAAGGCAGAGCUAGAUGAAUCACAAGUUGGAAUUAAGAUUGCCGGGAGAAAUAUCAACAACCUCAGAUAUGCAGAUGAUACCACUCUAAUGGCAGAAAGUGAAGAAGAACUAAAGGGCCUUCUGAUGCGGGUGAAGGAGGAGAGUGCAAAAGUUGGUUGGAAACUCAACAUUAAGAAAACUAAGAUCAUGGCUCCCGGCCCUCUCAAUCUCUAGAUGGGGAAGAAAUGGAGAUAGUGACAGAUUUUAUUUUCCUGGAUUCCAAGAUACUGCACAUGGGGACUACAGCCAAGAAAUUAAAAGACACUUGCUCCUGGGAAGGAAAGCUAUGGCAAAGUUAGGCAACAUACUAAAAAGCAAAGACAUUACCUUGCCAACAAAAGUGUGUAUAGUCAAGGCUAUGGUUUUCCCAGUUGCAAUGUAUGGUUGUGAAAGUUGGACCAUAAGGAAGGCUGAGUGCCAAAGAACUGAGGCCUUUGAACUAUGGUGCUGGAGAAGACUCCUGCAAGUCCCUUGGACUGCAAGACGAUCAAACUGGUCAGUCCUAGAGGAGAUCAACCCUGACUGCUUUUUAGAAGGAAAAUGAAACUCAAAUACUUUGUCCACUUAAUGAGAAAGAAGGAUUCACUGGAGAAGAACCUAAUGCUGGGAACGAUUGAGGGCAAAAGAAGAAGGAACGGCAGAGAAUGAGGUAGCAGGAUGGAGUCACUGAAGCAGUAGGCUUCAGUGGUGGUCUCUGGGGGAUGGUAGAGGAAAGGAAGGCCUAGAGGAAAGUUGUCCAUAGGAUUGUGAUGGGUCGGACAUGACUUCACAACUAACAACAUCAAAAGAUGUGAAGAAAGCAGUCUAUUAUAAUACAGUAACCCAUAAUUUAUGUUUCAGACAAAUAAUGGAUUUAGACAAUUGUUCAAAUCUGACAACAGUAGGAUCUUUACCUUGUGAUCUCGUGCCCUGAUAUGUAAUGUUUUUCCUUUAGUUUUUACACUGAGAGGUGGCAAUUGGAUUUUUUUUUUUAAAAAAAGAAAUUGCAACAGUGACUGAUUGCUUCCAGAAAAUGAGUUACUAUAUAUAAGGGAAAAGCUAGAAAUAACCAAUGCAUUUAAGUUUCAUUUUCUAUAAUACUAUGUAUUUAACUGCAAGUGAUUAUUUUAAUGCGAUCACUUUGCCAGUUAUUUUGUUCAUCAGGUUUUCUUUUCACUUGGUAGCCUCCCUUUUAGUCUCAGUAUUCUAUUUAUUUUCAAGCCAUGCAAUGUGAUCUAAAGUUGUUAAUUUUCUUUUAGAUUUAAAAAAAAAAAUCCUUUCUGUAACCCAUGAAGCUUUUUUUUAAAGUAACAUUACAGCAAUAGCAACCAUUGUUGCAUGACCUUGAAUCAUCAGCAUUUCAUAUUUCAAAAUCUGAUACGAAAUUGCCUGUUUGUAAAUAUGCAGGAUUGAAGAAUAUGAAGUCAACCCACUCCCUUAUUUCUUAUGUUUAAGGGAUCAUCUCAGGUGAUUGUAUUCCAUUUAUUAAUAAUGCUGAUAUGCAGUAGCUUUUCUCAUCCCUGUAAACAGUUUCCUCUGGUAGGAACCAGCCAUGAGACAUUGAUGCAGAUCAGGGGCGGGUUUCAAAACCCGUCGCUACCGGUUUGCUCGUGGCCACAUGCGCACACGACACUUUUGUGCAUGCACAGAAGCUUCCAAGCAGGUGGGCGGAGCCUCCCUCCAUCGCCGCUACUGGUUCACCCAAUCCUGGGUGAACUGGUAGCAACCCACCACUGAUGCAGAUUCAAAUUGGCCCUGCUGGAAAUAGAGAAUUGAAAUAUGCUCAUUCCUUGUCCUUAUUGCCAAUGAUGUUUAGAGGAGCAAUCCAUGUCUACAUGCAAGGGAAAGGAAUUGCAAAACCAGUCUGCCCAUCCUCGUUCUCCAGCAUAAUUAGAUUUUGCAUUAGACCCAACCACUGGAUGGGAGAAAAUAUCCCAUCAAGAUUAUAGUCAGUGAGAGAUUGUAUUUAUUUGUAAAAUUAUUAUAAAUUUUCUCAUUCCAAAGCCUUGAAAAUUCUCCAUAGGCCACAGGUGUUCUUUUGCAUUUAUUCUCUUUACAUUUCCCAAUACCAGAGCGAAAAUAAUGCAUGAACUGAGGUGUAAACAGUCUAUUUCAUUUAAUAAGAUCAGAGGACUGGACAACCAGGGAGACAUCAAGAUAUUAUUAACAGGGGUAGCCACAGCAAUGGUCAUUGACUUUUUAAAAAUCCCCCUUUUUAUAGGUAGUCAAUAAGCAUUAAAAGAGGCUCUUGCCAGAUUCAACAUUUAAUUAAUCUCAGAUUUAAUUUUCUUAAAGAAUGUACCAUUGGUCAAAGUACACCUCCAUCCUUGUGGUAAUCAUUGGUUUUGAUUCAGAUUUAUUUUGCUCAAACAAAGUAACUUGGGCUCAAAUUCCUGAUCCCCAAACAGUCUUUUUGAAAGCCUCUUUUUUGGACUUUUUUUUUCUAUUUCAUUUUUUUUUCCUUAAAGGGUUUUCUAGAGUUGUUGUUAUUAAAAACAGGGGAGGCUGUAUUUAUUCUCUUUCCUCAUUCAGCUUUAAGCUACCUUGUAUGAUUUGAAAUUUUCAUUCAAAUGAACAUGGGUGACUUUUAUGUCCUACCUCUGGGGUUCUGGUUCAGAGGUCUACACAGAUGAUCUAGCUAGGAAGAGAAAAAUAUGAACACAAACAAAGCAUUAUUAAUUCUGGCUUUUUCGACUAUAUAAUAGGAGCAACACUGAUCUAUUCCAAAAAAAGGAAAUAAUGAUGCUAAGUAUUCCCUAGAGUUCCCAUGGGGCACAAAUGCAUUGAUCCUAAAAGGAUAUCUCUCCCACUCAGCUACCUUAUUACAGCAAAGGUAAUAUCUUUGGGUGAAGCUUAACUGCUGGUAACCUCACAAAUAUGUCCAAUAUUUAUCACGUAUCAAGAUAUUUAGCCUCAAAUCUAAUCUUUUCCCACAAUUUCUGGAUCUAACUUCUUUUUCCCUUUUUCUUGUAUGUGGAAAAUUUCAAAACAUUUUAUCCUGACUGAUCUUUAAUUGGAUUAUUUUGGGUUUAGAGACAUUCUGAAGACUAGAAUUGUUUAACAUGUAAUUAUCUAUCUAUCAUCUAUCUAUCUAUCUAUCUAUCUAUCUAUCUAUCUAUCUAUCUAUCUAUCUAUCUAUCUAUCUAUCAUGGAUCACUGCCUUGUCGUGACAAAGAGCUUGUGCAGUGCAAUGAAGCUAUGAGCUAUGCCGUGCAGGGCCACCCAAGCAAAAAUCCCUGCACCCCCCACCCACCAUGCCCAGCUGAGCUGCACGAUCAUCAGAGGCUUUUUUUUUUUACUUUUAAAAGCAUUUUUUCUACAACCACUUCCAACGAAAAAAUGCUUUUAAAAGGUUAAAAAAAAGCCUCUGAUGAUCACGCGGCUCAGCUGGAAUCGUCAGAGGCUUUUCAAAGCAUUUUUUUCUGCAACAUCUUGGCCGAAGAGGUGGUAAAAAAAAUGCUUUGAAAAGUCUCUGAUGAUCCCAGCUGAGUUGCCUGAUCGGCAGAGAGGUAUUUUUUAAAAAGCCUCUCUGACGAUCCCAGCUGAGUUGCCUGAUCGGCAGAGGCUUUUCAAAGCAUUAGAAAAAAUUGAAAAGUUGGCCAUGCCCACCCAGUCACAUUACCCCCCCACACACCAAGCCACGCCCACAGAACCGGUAGUAACAAAUUUUACAUUUCACCCCUGGCUAGUACUAGUAGCACCAGAAAGAGUGAAGUGACUGGGCCAAAACCGAAAGGACGCUGUGCUGUGGAUGCAUCUGGUGGUGAAAAGAAAGUCCAAUGCUGUAAAGAUCUAUACUCCAUAGGAACCUGGAAUGUAAGAUCCAUGAAUCAAGGCGAGGUGGACAAACCUUAAGGUCAAACAAGAGAUGACAAUACUGAACAUCGACAUCUUAGGAAUCAACAAAGUAAAAUGGACAGGAAUAGGUGAAUUUAAUUCAGAUGAACAUCAGGUAUACUACUGUGGGCAAGAGUCCCUCAGAAGAAUUGGAGUAGCCUUCAUAGUCAAUAGCAUUGGCAUCCUUCAGUCUCAAAAGACUAUGGUAUUGUGCUCUGGAAAGAGGUCCUAAAAUAGAAUCUAGUGUGACUAAAAAGGCCAAUUCGAGACUGGCAGUUCCUUCCACACUGAGGGCAGAUACAUACUGUCCCCUGCCCAGCCCCCAGAUUUCACUGGUUCCAGGACUGCCUCUUUGCCUCAGCCUGCCGAACAAGUGUCUCUUCGAAUUGGAGAAGGCCAUGCUGCAUCUUUAGCCUCCAAGCUGAACGAUAGGAGGUCAAGUUGUUAAUAUCCAUUCCCAGGGCCUUUAGGUCCCUCUUGCAGAUAUCCUUAUAUCGCAGCUGUGGUUUCCCUCUGAGGCGCUUUCCUUACACUAAUUCUCCAUACAGGAGAUCUUUCGGAAUCCGACCAUCAGCCAUUCUCAUGACAUGCCCCAGCCAGCGUAGAUGUUGCUGUUUCAAUAGUGUAUACAUGCUAGAAAUUUCAGCACAUUCCAAGACUGUUCUAUUUGGAACUUUGUCCUGCCAGGUGAUGCCAAGAAUACAUCGGAGACAGCGCAUAUGAAAGGUGUUUAACUUUCUCUCAUUCCGUGCAUAAAGGGUCCAAGACUCCUGCACUACAAGAGUGGGCUCAGGACGCAGGCUCUAUAGACCUGGAUCUUUGUAUGUUCCGUCAGCUUCUUAUUAAGCCAUACUCUCUUUGUAACUCUGGAAAAUGUGGUGGCCGCUUUACCAAUAUGUUUAUUCAGCUCAGUAUCUAAAGAGAGAGUGUCAGAGAUAGUUGAGCCAAGGUACACAAAGUCAUGAACGACUUCCAGUUCUUGUGCAGAAAUUGUAAUACAGGAAGGUGAAUCCACAUCCUGAGCUAUGACUUGUGUUUUUUACAGGCUGAUUGUUAGUCCAAAGUCUUGGCAGGCCUUGCUAAAACUGUCCAUAAGUUGUUGAAGAUCUUCAGCAGAGUGAGCAGUGAUGGCAGCAUCAUCAGCAAAGAGGAAAUCCCAUAAGCAUUUCAGCUGGACUUUAGACUUUGCUCUCAAUCUAGAGAGAUUAAAGAAUUUUCCGUCUGAUCUGGUCCAGAGGUAAAUACCCUCUGUUGAAGUUCCAAAAGCAUGUUUCAGCAUGACAGCAAAAAAGAUCCCAAAUAAAGUUGGCAUGAGGACACAGCCCUGCUUCACUUUACUUCAAAUAUCAAAAGAAUCUGAUGUUAAGCCAUCAAAAACUACAGUGCCCUUCAUUUCCUCAUGAAAGGACCUGAUGAUAUUGAGGAGCUGAGGUGGACAUCCAAUCUUGGGGAGAAUUUUAUAAAAGCCAUCCUUACUAACCAAGUCAAAAGCCUUCGUAAGAUCUAUGAAGGCUACAAAAAGUGGCUGUCUUUGUUCCCUGCAUUUCUCCUGCAGAUGUCUAAGGGAAAAUACCAUGUCAGUAGUGGACCUGUUGGCUCGAAAUCCACACUGUGAUUCUGGAUAGACUCUCUCUGCAAGCACCUGGAGCCUCUUCAGUACGACACAGGCAAGCAGCUUCCCUACAACACUAAGAAGAGAGAUGCCAUGGUAGUUGUUACAGUCACCCCUGUCAUCUUUGUUCUUGUACAGUGUGAUGAUAUUUGCAUCCUUCAUGUCCUGUAGUACUCCACCUUCCCUCCAACAAAGACAGAAGAUUUCAUGCAAUUCAGUGGGAUGUUCUCUUUGCAGCGCUUCAGAACUUCGGCAGGGAUGUUAUCUUUCCCGGGUGCCUUGCCGGAGGCAAGGGAGUCCAGGGCCGCAUUUAGUUCUUCUAAAGUUGAUUCACUGUCAAGCUCCUCCAAGACAGUCAGGCACUCAGUGUUAUUUAAUGCUUCUUCAGUUACCAUAUUUUCUCUGGAAUAUAACUCAGAGUAGUGCUGCACCCAGCGUGCCAUCUGCUGUGCUCGGUCCUGGAUAAUCUCACCAGGGGAAGAUUUCUUCUGUGUUGGACCUAAAGCCUGCUUGAUACCAUCAUACAUCCCCUUGAUGUUGCCUGUAUCAGCUGCUAUCUGGAUCGGAGAGCAAAGUUGCAGCCAAUAAUCGUUAGCACAUCUCCUGGCAGUCUGUUGGACUUUGCUACGAGCAGCUCGCAUAACCUGUAGGUUGCACUCAGUGGAACAGGCUUUAUAUGCAAUUAGAGCUCUCCUUUUUUCCUCGAUGGCUGGUGUCCUUCGAAUGGGCUUCAAACCAAUCUGCUGUCUUUCUGAUCUCCUUACCAAAUACUGACAAGACGGUGUUAUAAACAGUAUUCUUGAAAUAUUCCCAUCGUUCAGAUGCAUUUACUUCAGCCAGGCCUGGGAGAGUUUCCUUGAGUGCUUGUGCAAAUUCCUCCACUUUGCCCUGAUUGCGGGUCUUGUUGAUGUCAAUUUGUGGUCUUCCUUCCUUCUUUGAGUGAUGCAAUCUCUUUGUUUACAGUUUUAUUCUGCACACCAAGGAGUGGUCUGUAUCGCAAUCAGCACCCUGAUAGCUGUGUGUGAUUGUAAUAUUGGGGAGGUUAGAGCGCCUGGUAAGAAUCAAGUCAAGCUGAUGCCAAUGCUUCGAUCUUGGAUGUCUCCAAGAGACUCUGUGUUGAGGCUUUGUUUUAAAGUAUGUAUUGCUAACACAAAAACCAUAGUAGCAGCAAAACUCCAGCAGGCGUUGGCGAUUUUUGUUCAUCUUCCCGAUGCUGAACUGACCUAAACAAGUGUGCCAAGAACUAUAAUCAGCUCCAACUAUGGCAUUAAAAUCGCCAAGGAUAAACAGUAGUUCUUUCUCAGGGAUUUUCUUGAUAGUAGCAGCCAGAUCGUCGUAGAAUUUGUCUUUGGAUUCUUCUGAAGAUGAUAAUGUCAGUGCAUAUGCACUAAAAAGAGUAACCAGCCCUGCUGAUGAGUGGAGCUGCAAGGACAGAUUUUUUUUCACUUCCUGCAGCAGGUGGAGUAAUGGAUCAUAGUAGGGUGUUUCUGACCGCAAAGCCAACCCCAUAUUCCCUAGACUCGUUUGAUGUUUUUCCCUGCCAGAAGAAUGAGAAGUUUCUCUCCUUAACAGAUCCUGAGUCUAACAGGAUCUUGAAGGGCAAUGAUGUCCAUCUGCAGUCUGCUCAACUCCAUGUCAAUGGCAGCUGUCUUACGUACGUCAUCUAUCUCUUGUAAAUCAUCAGAAAGGCCAGGGGUCAUUGUCCGAACAUUCCAGAUGCCCAACUUUAGGUCUAAAGUUUUCUUAUGUUUGUUGCAUGGUGCAUGGUGGUUAUCAAUCUGCUUGUCAGCUUUGACCCUAAACCCCAUGCACCCUGUGAGGUUAACAGACCGUGGUGGGGCAGCACCUUACUAGCUGGGGGCUGCCCAGCUUAAGGCAGGCGGUAGCUGCCCAAUGAGGUACAAUGACCUCUCCCACUGACAAAAGUGCCCCCUGGCAUCACAUGCCAAUCAAGCAAAGACUUAUAACUGGUAACUGCCACUUCCCGUGUUGUUUCAAUGCUGUAUGCAAAGCUGGAGUGUCCUCUCCAGAGCACGAGGCUGGGUAAAUUAAUAUGGAGGAUAAGCUGUUACCCAAGCAGCAGAUCCACCCUCUUCACAUUGCUGAAAUAGUCCAAUGGAAUGGCAAAGCCGAUACGAUUAGUUUCAGCUGCAUCACAGGAGUUUCCAGAACAUGAUAAUACACAGUCACAAACUGCUUCUGGGACUCCGGCUCUAGAUUUUGCCUAUUUACUACUGGAACAGGCUUCAGGAGACCGAAUCCUAUCUACUAGACCACCAGGGAUGGAUCCUAUCUAUUAGACCACCAGAGACUGAAUCCUAACCACUAGACCACCAGAGACCGAAUCCUAUCUACUAGACUACCAGGGACCGAAUCCUAUCUACUAGACCACCAGGGACCGAAUCCUAUCUACUAGACCACCAGGGACUGAAUCCUAACCACUAGACACCAGGGACUGAAUCCUAUCUACUAGACCACCAGGGACUGAAUCCUAUCUACUAGACCAACCAGGGACUGAAUCCUAACCACUAGACCACCAGGGACCGAAUCCUAACUGCUAGACCACCAGGGACGAACAUAUCUUUUUUAUUUUUAUUGUUAUUAACAUUAUUAUUAACAUUAUUAACAUUAUUAACAUUAUUAACAUUAUUACUACUACUACUACUAUUAUUAUUAUUAUUAUUAUUAUUAUUAUUAUUAUUAUUAUUAAAAUUAUUAUUUAUUGUUCUAUUGCUUUGCAUGUCUAUUGAGAGCUUCUGCACUGGAGACAAAUUCCUUGUGUGUCUAGAUCCGUUUCUUCAUUGAGCAGUUCCUGUUGUAUCUUAUCAGUUUUCUGAAUCUGGAUGAGUCAAACUGGAUUCUCGCAAGCUCCGAGUUGCAUGGGGCUUGGAUCAGGGAACAGAGGGCUUCAGUCCAGCAAAGCAGCCAAGGCUGGAAUGACCACAUGGGAAGCACAUUGAGCCUGAGCCAAAGGAGUUGCAGCUGCAGCAAGUUAGCCUGGAGGAGCAGCUUCAUGAGCAGUUUCCAGUGGCCAGUGAAGAUGAGGAGGUGAAGUCCAUAUUUCCUCCCAAUCUAAGGAUGCACAGGGCAGAGAGGAAACAGGUACAAUGCUGGUUGGCCAGGCUACUUACAAGGAGGCAACCUUGCCGAUUGUGAAGGGUUACAUUGACAUUGCCUAUUUAAUCCCACUCUAAGAGAUGGGCAUUGCUGGAACAACAUGUCCAAGUUCCUUGUUCUGUGUAUCUUCCUCCUUGGACUUCCUCCUUGAACAGUUUGGACUGACUCUGGAUUGUGUAUUGCAUUUUGUGAACUGGGCUUUGCCAAGAACUCCCAUAUCACAACAGUCUUGUUGAGCAUGGCAGCAGGACAUGCUCAUCAUGUGAACUUCUUUUGAAUUGCUGGGGGUUUGAAUAAAGCCAUUGCCUCACUAUGGUGUGUGCGUGUGUGUGAGAGAGAGAGAAGGCAAAAUACCUUUGCUGUUUGUCAUUGAUGUAUGUUAACAAUAAAUUAUAAUUGCAGCUGUGCUGUACAUUAGUUGGUCCUCCCA